rnacentral:rRNA from 1 species
CCCGCAUCUGACGUAGUGUGAUAGGGGAUCCCAGAGUGCUUAUAGCAUAUUGUGUAGGGCUUUUGCCAAAAUGAAAACUUUCGGCGAAUAAGUGGUGGGUAAGACUGGUGCCAGCAGCCGCGGU